rnacentral:rRNA from 1 species
UACAGAGGGGGCAAGCGUUGUUCGGAAUUACUGGGCGUAAAGGGCGUGUAGGCGGCCCGUUAAGUCGAACGUGAAAUCCCCGAGCUCAACUCGGGAACUGCGUCCGAUACUGGCGGGCUUGAAUCCGGGAGAGGGAUGCGGAAUUCCAGGUGUAGCGGUGAAAUGCGUAGAUAUCUGGAGGAACACCGGUGGCGAAGGCGGCUACCUGGACAAUUGCUGACGCUCAGGCACGAAAGCGUGGGGAGCAAAAGGG